UACGUAGGGUGCGAGCGUUGUCCGGAAUUAUUGGGCGUAAAGAGCUCGUAGGCGGCCUGUCACGUCGGAUGUGAAAACCCGGGGCUCAACCCCGGGCCUGCAUUCGACACGGGCAGGCUAGAGUUCGGCAGGGGAGACUGGAAUUCCUGGUGUAGCGGUGAAAUGCGCAGAUAUCAGGAGGAACACCGGUGGCGAAGGCGGGUCUCUGGGCCGAUACUGACGCUGAGGAGCGAAAGCGUGGGGAGCGAACAGG
rnacentral:rRNA from 1 species